UCCAGACUCCUACGGGAGGCAGCAGUGGGGGAUAUUGCACAAUGGGGGAAACCCUGAUGCAGCGACGCCGCGUGGGCGAAGAAGUAUUUCGGUAUGUAAAGCCCUAUCAGCAGGGAAGAAGAAAUGACGGUACCUGAGUAAGAAGCCCCGGCUAACUACGUGCCAGCAGCCGCGGUAAUACGUAGGGGGCAAGCGUUAUCCGGAUUUACUGGGUGUAAAGGGAGCGUAGACGGCCAGACAAGUCUGAAGUGAAAUUCCAGCGCUUAACGUUGGAAGUGCUUUGGAAACUGCCGGUCUAGAGUGCAGGAGGGGCGUGCGGAAUUCCUAGUGUAGCGGUGAAAUGCGUAGAUAUUAGGAGGAACACCGGUGGCGAAGGCGGCCUGCUGGGCUGCAACUGACGUUGAGGCUCGAAGGCGUGGGGAGCAAACAGGAUUAGAUACCCCAGUAA
rnacentral:rRNA from 1 species